rnacentral:rRNA from 1 species
ACUCAAAUGAAUAGACGGGGGCCCGCACAAGCAGCGGAGCAUGUGGUUUAAUUCGAAGCAACGCGAAGAACCUUACCAGGACUUGACAUCCGAUUAAAGCCGGUGAAAGCCGGUGUCCCUUCGGGGGAAUCGAGACAGGUGGUGCAUGGUUGUCGUCAGCUCGUGUCGUGAGAUGUUGGGUUAAGUCCCGCAACGAGCGCAACCCCUAUCAUUAGUUGCCAGCGCGUAAUGGCGGGAACUCUAAUGAGACUGCCGUGGACAACACGGAGGAAGGUGGGGACGACGUCAAAUCAUCAUGCCCCUUACGUUCUGGGCUACACACGUGCUACAAUGGCCGGUACAAAGGGAAGCGAAGGCGCAAGCCGGAGCGGAACCCAAAAAAGCGGUCUCAGUUCGGAUCGUGGGCUGCAACCCGCCCACGUGAAGUUGGAGUUGCUAGUAAUCGCGAAUCAGCAUGUCGCGGUGAAUGCGUUCCCGGGCCUUGUACACACCGCCCGU